rnacentral:tRNA from 1 species
GGGGAUUUAGCUCAGCGGUAGAGCGCUUGCCUAGCGAGCACAAGGCUCUGGGUUCGGUCCCCAGCUCCG